rnacentral:rRNA from 1 species
GACGAACGCUGGCGGCGUGCUUAACACAUGCAAGUCGAACGGAAAGGCCCUUCGGGGUACUCGAGUGGCGAACGGGUGAGUAACACGUGGGUGAUCUGCCCUGCACUUUGGGAUAAGCCUGGGAAACUGGGUCUAAUACCGAAUAUGACCAUGCACUUCCUGGUGUGUGGUGGAAAGCUUUUGCGGUGUGGGAUGGGCCC